UUAAUUGAAACCAAAUAGAGGUAUAUCACUGUUAAUGAUAUUAUUGAAUACAAAAUUCCAAUUAAA
rnacentral:tRNA from 3 species